GCAGCGAUGCAUGGAGCGGACCAGUACUAAUCGGUCGAGGACUUAACCAAG
rnacentral:rRNA from 1 species